UACGUAGGGUGCGAGCGUUGUCCGGAAUUAUUGGGCGUAAAGAGCUCGUAGGCGGUUUGUCGCGUCGACUGUGAAAACCUACAGCUUAACUGUGGGCUUGCAGUCGAUACGGGCAGACUUGAGUUCGGUAGGGGAGACUGAAAUUCCUGGUGUAGCGGUGAAAUGCGCAGAUAUCAGGAGGAACACCGGUGGCGAAGGCGGGUCUCUGGGCCGAUACUGACGCUGAGGAGCGAAAGCGUGGGGGAGCGAACAGG
rnacentral:rRNA from 1 species